UACGGAGGGAGCUAGCGUUAUUCGGAAUUACUGGGCGUAAAGCGCACGUAGGCGGCUUUGUAAGUUAGAGGUGAAAGCCUGGAGCUCAACUCCAGAACUGCCUUUAAGACUGCAUCGCUUGAAUCCAGGAGAGGUGAGUGGAAUUCCGAGUGUAGAGGUGAAAUUCGUAGAUAUUCGGAAGAACACCAGUGGCGAAGGCGGCGACCUGGGCCAAUAUUGACGCUGAGGUGCGAAAGCGUGGGGAGCAAACAGG
rnacentral:rRNA from 1 species